GACGAACGCUGGCGGCGUGCCUAAUACAUGCAAGUCGAACGCUUCUUUCCUCCCGAGUGCUUGCACUCAAUUGGAAAGAGGAGUGGCGGACGGGUGAGUAACACGUGGGUAACCUACCCAUCAGAGGGGGAUAACACUUGGAAACAGGUGCUAAUACCGCAUAACAGUUUAUGCCGCAUGGCAUAAGAGUGAAAGGCGCUUUCGGGUGUCGUUGAUGGAUGGACCCGCGGUGCAUUAGCUAGUUGGUGAGGUAUCGGCUCACCAAGGCCACGAUGCAUAGCCGACCUGAGAGGGUGAUCGGCCACACUGGGACUGAGACACGGCCCAGACUCCUACGGGAGGCAGCAGUAGGGAAUCUUCGGCAAUGGACGAAAGUCUGACCGAGCAACGCCGCGUGAGUGAAGAAGGUUUUCGGAUCGUAAAACUCUGUUGUUAGAGAAGAACAAGGACGUUAGUAACUGAACGUCCCCUGACGGUAUCUAACCAGAAAGCCACGGCUAACUACGUG
rnacentral:rRNA from 1 species